GAUGAACGCUGGCGGCGUGCUUAACACAUGCAAGUCGAACGAUGAAGCCCAGCUUGCUGGGUGGAUUAGUGGCGAACGGGUGAGUAACACGUGAGUAACCUGCCCUUAACUCUGGGAUAAGCCUGGGAAACUGGGUCUAAUACCGGAUAGGAGCGUCCACCGCAUGGUGGGUGUUGGAAAGAUUUAUCGGUUUUGGAUGGACUCGCGGCCUAUCAGCUUGUUGGUGAGGUAAUGGCUCACCAAGGCGACGACGGGUAGCCGGCCUGAGAGGGUGACCGGCCACACUGGGACUGAGAAACGGCCCAGACUCCUACGGGAGGCAGCAGUGGAGAAUAUUAAACAAUGGGCGCAAGCCUGAUGCAGCGACGCCGCGUGAGGGAUGACGGCCUUCGGGUUGUAACCCUCUUUCAGUAGGGAAGAAGCGAAAGUGACGGUACCUGCAGAAGAAGCACCGGCUAACUACGUG
rnacentral:rRNA from 1 species